UACGUAGGGGGCAAGCGUUGUCCGGAAUUAUUGGGCGUAAAGAGCGCGUAGGCGGUCCGAUAAGUCGGCUGUGAAAGUCAGGGGCUCAACCCUUGAAAGCCGGCCGAUACUGUCGGACUAGAGUCCGGAAGAGGCGAGUGGAAUUCACGGUGUAGCAGUGAAAUGCGUAGAUAUCGUGAGGAAGACCAGUGGCGAAGGCGGGUCUCGUGGACAGUUCCGUGACGCUGAGGCGCGAAGGCCAGGGGAGCAAACGGG
rnacentral:rRNA from 1 species